AUGAUUGAUACCGUGGUUCCUCCAACCCCAGUCAAUAGUGUGGUAGGCAGUCGUCCACCUAGCAGUUGCGGGGUCAGAUUCUUUCCAGAAGAUGUUGAAAGGAUCAAUGGGCUGCAGCAUAAAGACAGUGUGUCAUCGUCAUUGUCAGAGACCUGGGAUGAUCUUGGCUUUGACACACAAGGAGCAUCAACCUCAAGUGAUAAUAUUGUCUGGAAUAGGAUCAAGGGAUCUGAGAGUCCACUGAAUAUUCUGGAAGAUGUUAGCGGGAAAGAGUCAGUUGAUGAUAUGACAGGAGAAGAAGGCAGAGAAGAAACUAUACAGUCGGAGAAGGUCCACCAGAAAGGAAAAGUCCUUGAACCCCAGCUUAGUCUGAUCACUGAGCAGGCUGAAUCAUACGACAACUGGAACCUAGAUAGUGCACUUAAAGAUGAAUGGAACCCUGUUUCCUUGGCAUGUCUGCAAUUGACACCACCAGAGGAGGACGUAGCUGGAAAAUGGAGGGCUGCCAUCAUUGGAGUGAAAGAAAAAGUAUCCUCAAUGUCGAGAAAGAAAGCAAUCCUAAACACUUUGACACCGGACACAUCGAAAGAAGAGGAUGAAGGGGUACAAGGAAAAAAAGGAGACAGAAAGAUGGAGAUCCUAGACUUUUGGACGUACUCUGCACAGAAGGGAUUUCUCAAAUCAGACAGCGGAACCACCACAUCUUACCCGGAAUCACUGGAUAUGUGGAAUAUGACAAUUAGAGAUGACAGUCUAUCACCUCUCACGACCCCUGACAACUUGUCUGAAACCUCAGGUUCUUUCUGUAGGACGAACUCCAAUGUUGGGGCAGGCACAUCUGUGGAAAGUCCACUCGGAUACUCUGAAGGUGGAAUGGUGAUGUGGAACACCACCAUACGGGAAGACAGCUCUUCCACGAUAACAAGCCCUGAGGGAGCUGAAAAUCAAAAGGACCUUAGUCACACGGGAUCGUUGGAUGGUGGUGAUUCUCCUGGGACACAUGCAAGCAAACAGGUGGAAGAAGAGAAGACUAUAGAGGAGGAGAGCGGUAUACACAAAGUGCUUAGUGAGACUGUCGACGAAGUGAGGUGGAGAGGUAACGAACACAAUGUUAAAAUAGUCAUAGAGGCGGCUGAAAGUGAAACGAUGGGUGAGGAAACAGGUGACGAUGACAACCAGAACUUGGUAUCUGAUCAUUCAGAAGAUGGGACUUCCUCUUACCAAGGUACUGACAUGUGGGACCUACCUGUGCCUGGCAUGGUCACCUCCACUUCAGAAUAUGACAAUGUCGGAGCUGGCACUUGGAGCCUGACAUCCUCCCCUGAUGCCUAUGCUAGCCCCAUAGUAGACAUGGUACAGCUAGAGGGGCAGUCUAGCCCUUUUGUAGCUGUGACACAACCUAUGUCUGAUCCUCUGGGAAAGACUGAAUACAGAACAGUAAUUUCAGAUGAAGAACAACCAGCCAACCAGGUGUUCCUUUUUGAGGGAACUAGUGAGUUGGGUCACAUGAUCACGAGUGGGCGAAGUUCAGUUGGGAGCAAGAACGACAACAAAAGUAGAGGAGGAUCAGAGGAAACUGACUGGAUAGAGCAACACAGUGAUCAUUCACCCUUUGUUCUGGUUGAUACGUCGACUGUCAUUCAGGACACUUCAGCCAGUCUUCAUUCAUGUCCAGGAGAAGAUGCCAAGACUCAAAUUCAGACUGACCAGUCAUUAUCCCCAGGCCUUGUUGAUUGGGACCAUUUUGUUUCCAAGAAACAUGAUAGCUCUGAAUCAACGUCAUCAUCACAUGAUCUGCCGGUCACCACGGCGUACAAUGAUGGGCUUGCCACAAAAAGCCAAGGUGGUCUGAAUAAUGAGAGCAUUGGAAAGGAGUUUAAAACAACAGAAACCAUGUCUCUGAGCUCAAGCUCUGGGGGGGAGAGAGACGCCAUGAAGUAUAGCCCCGACGGCCUUCUCCCAGGUAGUCGAGAUGAACUCCGGUCCAAUUCUGACGGAGAUUCAUCGUCGGGCCUAGAAAUGGACUACAUCAUCGUGUCUGGCACAGUGAAAGAAGCUGAGAGAGAGUGGCGCGAUCGGCCUAAACAUGGUAACAGACAAUCAAAAGGAACAAGAAGAUCCAUGGAGACAUUUAGCAUGCUUUCCUACGCUGCCACAGUACUGCAAUCCCAGGCCCAAGCUUCACAAGAGAACAACAGGGGACGCAGAACAAGUAGGCAAACCAAAUGA
ensembl:lncRNA